UAACUUAUCUUAAAAUAUACUAGAUAUAUCAGAAAUUCUGAGUUCUUAAAUCAAUUUAUCCCUAUGAUUUGUACAAAAUACUUAAUGAUUGGUGGUUCUCAUUUGACAACUCCUGUCACAAAAACAUGUUGCCUUUGUGUUGUUCUUAUAUAGUUGCACUCUUAUGGUCCAUCAGAAAACAGCAGUAUUAAGUAGCAUUAUCUGAUUGAAGAACUUGAGAUUUCAAAAUGUAUUAUUUUGCUUCAUUAGGAAAUUGGGGAUAGCUUAUAAUUUUCCAAUUGAAUUAGAGAAUAGGUAAUUGACCUUGCAAAUUACUUGGUAACAAGUCUCAUUUUGGUUGAUGUAAGCAUGGGUCUAUGGUCGUAUGGGCACUUGCAUUUUUAGGUUGUAGAAACAUAAAAGAUCAAUGCAUUCUGAGGCCUGCAACUGCUGCAUAUAUUAAGAAUUGCAUUAAUGAGUUCUAGAAAUCAUGCAUAUUCUUUUAGUCAUACUCAUAGGUCAACUCGACUAUAGCUUCACAUUUUUUUAGUACUCUUUUUUAUUUUAUUUUUUUCCCUAUCUCAUGCUUUUGCACUGCAUUUAUAGCUAAUCAUGAAUUGGAUGACAUUAGUUCAAGUCUAUUAGGUGCUCCUGUGUAUUUAUGGAACUCUGAGAACAGUACUUUGUGAAAUUGGGACUGUAUAAACUCAUAUGUUGCUUAAUGCUGCUGUUGGAAGUUUGAUAAUGAGGUGCUUGUUUGGAAAUGACAUGUUUGACGUGAGUUAAACAUACUUGAAGGUAUCAGUGAACUUUUGGUAAUUAUUGAUUAUCAAAUAGAUAAGUGGGAUCCAAAAUUGAAG
rnacentral:misc_RNA from 1 species